rnacentral:tRNA from 1 species
AGAAUCCGUCGAAUUUGAAAAUCGUGAGGGUUCAAGUCCCUCUAUCCCCA